rnacentral:rRNA from 1 species
AGCAGUCGCCGCGGUAAUACGUAGGUGGCAAGCGUUGUCCGGAAUUAUUGGGCGUAAAGGGCCCGCAGGCGGUUUCUUAAGUCUGAUGUGAAAGCCCCCGGCUCAACCGGGGAGGGUCAUUGGAAACUGGGAAACUUGAGUGCAGAAGAGGAGAGUGGAAUUCCACGUGUAGCGGUGAAAUGCGUAGAGAUGUGGAGGAACACCAGUGGCGAAGGCGACUCUCUGGUCUGUAACUGACGCUGAGGAGCGAAAGCGUGGGGAGCGAACAGGAUUAGAUACCCCCGUAGUCCCUGUCUCUUAUAC